CCUCCUCGGUGCUCAUGAUAGACAUGCACACACAUGUACAUAUAGACGCUGUGAAAACAAAACUAACUAAAUCCUACACAAUCUCUUUAAAUUUUAUUGAUUUUAUUAUUUAUUUAAUUUUAUAAAUUAUUUAUUUUACACUAUUUUAUUACUGAUUACUCCCAUCUAAUUUAACGUAUUUGAAGUCCUUUAUUUAUUUAUUUAUUUUUUAAUGAUAGGCACGCAGUGAGAGAGAGAGAGAGAGAGAGGCAGAGACACAGGCAGAGGGAGAAGCAGGCUCCAUGCACCGGGAGCCCGACGUGGGAUUCGAUCCCGGGUCUCCAGGAUCGCGCCCUGGGCCAAAAGCAGGCGCCAAACCGCUGCGCCACCCAGGGAUCCCUGAAGUCCUUUAAAGAAAGUGUUUAGCCACCACACCAUCACCUCCAUGCCAUUUUGGUUCCUGGUCCCUAAGCACCCCGUCUACAUCUCAACCAGUAGACCUGCACCUGGCUGUGUCAACACAUGUAAUGGCCCUCGGAAGUAGCCACCGUCCUCCCGGUUGAACAGAAGCUGCCACUGGAGUCUCGGAGAAUUCAGUGGCCUACCUUGGAAAGAAACAGCUCCUCUGCUGAGAAUGUUGCUGUUAUGCCUCCCAGCUGUGAAACUCUGCAUCCUGAAGCGUCUGAUUUACCAGCACGCGGUGGUGAGAUGCAUACACGUCUGUUUUCCUGCAUGUGCUAGAAUGGAACACACCAAGCCAAACAAGACGUGGCCUUCACCUUCACGGAGUUCAUAUACUUCACAGACAAGAGGAUGCGUGACGUGUUAGUGGCUGGAGACUGAGCAGAAGCCUCCAGAACCAUGGGGACUAGAUUCCUGUCGGUUAGGGCCCCUGGCGAUGGCAUUUUGUUACAGGAACCUGAAUAAGCUAAGACAGUGACCAGUCACAUACACACGGACUGUCAGAUUUUUUGUAUAUAUAAUUAUUCUAUCACAAUCAAGCUAAAAUACACCAAGAUUCUUCUACUGAAAGUAUCUCAACUCAUAAAGAAGUUGGGCUCUUACAUUCUAAGAAGUAGGUAAAUGCCACUCAGAAAUUCGGAGCACCUGGAACAUGCAGGUUAUCAAGUGUAUUCGGGAACUUUUUGAGCUUUGAAAUUCCAUAAAGAAUUCAAAAUUUCUCAAAAAAAUAAGUUACUUUGCUUUCUCCUUUCCUAAAUAUAAAUUCCAUCUGCUCCUGGUCUGACAUGGUCAUUUGAUGUAUAAUAGAUUUCAAUCUCUCCCCUUGUUAGCACAGCAAAGAUCCAUGCCUUGCCACCAGUCUUUUGUACCUUAACUGAAGACUUUUGCUAAUACCCUCAUUUGACACUAAGUCUUGCUCACGAUCUACCACAUAGGUUUUUGCUGCUAAAUGUCAUGGAAAUCACAGA
rnacentral:lncRNA from 12 species